rnacentral:lncRNA from 1 species
AGACAAAUCCUCCACAUUGUCACCUCUGUGGUCCAGUAAUAUCCAACAACAGGUGCAAAAAUCUUCCACGUCGUCACGCAGGCUAUCAGAUCGUCAACAACCGGCAGUGAUGACGGACAGAUGGUUGCCAAGGGUAACAGCAGGAAGGAGGACUCGGAGACGGUUUUUGAGGCACUUCGAGAAGAGCCAUUGGACGUGAGAUCUACGGAGCUUCGGUUUGGAUUCUCUGGAAGUUCUCCGUCUCCAGUUGGCAUCACUGUGGAUACUGUGGUUUCCAUUCGGCUGGCCCUGAAGAUGCUGGCCUGCGUCUGAAGAUAGCGAGUAGACUUGAGCUCCAGACCUUCAUAUGAGCCUUGAGGGACGCACGGACACCAGGAAAACGCCUGCUGGAAUCCCGCUCGAAACCUGUACAGGUAGACUACAAUUAUAAUAUAAAAUAACAGUUGUAUUGCAUUAUUCAGUUUUUUAAAAAUCAUUUGAGAAAUUGAUUCUGCACCUCCUAAAAUUAGCAAUUAAUAAAGAGCU